rnacentral:rRNA from 1 species
UACAGGGGGGGCAAGCGUUGUUCGGAAUUACUGGGCGUAAAGGGCUCGUAGGCGGCCAACUAAGUCCGACGUGAAAUCCCCAGGCUUAACCUGGGAACUGCGUCGGAUACUGGUUGGCUUGAAUCCGGGAGAGGGAUGCGGAAUUCCAGGUGUAGCGGUGAAAUGCGUAGAUAUCUGGAGGAACACCGGUGGCGAAGGCGGCAUCCUGGACCGGCAUUGACGCUGAAGAGCGAAAGCCAGGGGAGCAAACGGG